UUUUAUCAAGUAUGGAAAUAAACCAGAUAUUAUAUUGGAAGUGUUUUUACCAUUUAGAUAUACUACUGUUGAUAUUGGUAAAACUUUGUUUAUAAAGCCGUACAUAUUUUUGGCGCAGAACAAUAAUUUUUAUAAUACCAAAUGGGAAUGCAUACUUGAAGACCAGAUAUGGAUAUAUGGUUGCCAGGGACAAAUAAAUGAGGAAUUUUAUAUGGAAACGGGGUUUCUAAAAGCAGGAAACUAUACAAUCAUCUUAACAGUAACGGCAGAAAAUAUAGAAAAAACUGUAAUCGCAAAUAUUUUGGUAAAACCUAGGACGCCAUCUAUUAUAUUCGAUAUAGCAUAUCCGAUAGUGCCGGAAAGAGGUAUUGACAUAAAGGCAGAUAUUAGUGAACUCAAGACAUAUUGUACAGUUCAAUGGUUGGAUGUUAAAAGUAAUGAUCUAAAACUAAAGGAUAUUCCUGGGGUAAAUACUAAAGAAAUAAACAUUUCAUCCAAAGAUCAGUACUUUCUGCAAGAAUUGGUAGACUUUGGUAAUAUUAAAGUAACACGACGUUUUAACCUGAAGAUCCCACCAAUAUCGAAAACCUGGAAUGGCCUAACUGAUGACUCAGUUUACAAAAUAAAGAUUAUAGCCACUUGUCCAAAUGUAAAAGAAGUAAAUAGGGAAGAUAUAUUUGAAAGGGAUCUCAAAUCUGAGAAUGCUUUGAUAUCUUUAGGGGAAGUAGAGAUAUAUGUACUUCCAUUGCCGAAA